AUGGCUGGCCUCAGACACCUAGCUGAAAAGUCUGGUUUCUGUCCUGGGAUUGAGUUAGCUGCCUGCCCUGCCAGAUGCAGGCAAAUCAGAAACCGGCUGAGACUCCUCCCACCUAUAAGGGAAAGCCUCUGCCGCCAGGCACCUGGCCUGUGGGUCCUCGGAGAAGCCAUGGAGCUCAGAGGUGAGCAGGGGGGCACAACGGCUCCAGGAAUGGGCUGUGGGUACCUCUACGGCCAGCUGACCAUCUGGCUGGGGCUUCCCUGCUGGUCCAGAGCCAGGGGUCCAGAGCCAGCCUUGGCGAGGACAGCUGGGCAGAGUGGAAGCAGAGAGCAUCUGGGGAGCCGUGUUUGCGUGCAUGUGUGGGGUGGUCUUGGGCAGGGAUGGCACCCAGGGAAGUAGGACAGACAGGAUGUGGCCAGGGCGGUGUUAGGGCAGACGGCAGACCCUUGGGGGAGGUGUCCUGACUGCCUGGCCCUCCUGCCCGGGGCCCCUGCGUGUGGAGGCACCUGCACCUGUCCCUCUCCUGGCCUCUGUCUUCUCUUUUCUCGACUUGUCUGGGCCCCAAGGACAGAGCCGGUGUCGGUGAGGGGAUUUCCUCGGUCGUGAAGCCUGCCUGUGAUAGAGCAGGUCCGCCGCCCCUCAGAGGAGCUUGGACACAGCCAGUGCCUGGAGGAAGUGGGGACCCAGGGCACCCGCUGGGGGCAGGGAGAGAGGGAGGGAGGAGGGAGUGAGCUGAGGGGAAAGGAGUCUCUUGCAGUGUGGGCUGGGUCCCUGAUGUCAUCAGUCCUGCCCUAGCUGUUCCAAGGUCACACUGUGAGGCUGGGGUAGGAGGGCAGAGGGGAGGAAGGGAGAGAGGAGGGGAGGGGUGGGAGGGGGCCUGGAGCUCUGCAGGCAAGUGGAGUGCUGGGUGUCUGGACUCCACAGAACCCGACAGAAGGGGCGUUCAUGUGCCCCUUUCCGAGGAGGGCCCAGCGCAGUGAGCGCCUCCAGCGGGCACAGCAGAAGAGGGAGCUGCUGGUCAGCUGCUCAGAGUUCCUGCCUGGGCCACCCCACACCCAGCUGCCCCUCCUCACAGGGACCCAGCUGGUAAGGAUGGGGCCCUUGUUUGCCUGUAUCUCCUGAAGGGCAGGACCAGGCCUUGCUCAUUCACCUUCUCACUGGGGCCCUUUGCAUGGGCCUGGCACACAGUGUGGCCUCAAUGAACUUUCCAGAAUGGCCAUCCGAAGUGUGUGCCCAGCUUAAUGGAUGUAAAAACUAGCUCUGUGGGCCUGAACCCACAGCCGGGGUCAACCCCAGCCCCUGGAGUCACACCUCCUUGGCCAGAGGAGGAAGGCAGAAGCUUCCUGGGGGCUCUGGGCUUUCCAGACAUCCAGGAAGCUCCGUGCCCCUGCUCAGCCCA
rnacentral:lncRNA from 1 species